AAUAACAAGUGAUCACAGUUCUUUGAGGGACGUGUUAUCUUUGCUGACUACGCCAGACCAAUAACCUCAUACAGGACACCAAUGUGAGUUUUGGUGGACUUUCCACCGCUAAAAUUGUCCAAUCAUUGAAUUUGAGUAGUAAUCACUGAAUGUUACUAGUAAUCAGCAAAAAAUUCCUGGAAUCAUGCUUGCUUGUGCUAUCAUCAAGACUAAUGGUUUUCUCCUUGUUGGCAUAUGUCAAUGAAUUUGGUGUUUGAUGGUGGUGAGAACCAGAAGGAAUGAAUUGAUGAAAAGGAAUGUAUCUUCCCUGUUUGAAGGAUGCAAUGCCUUACAACUAGCUGACAUAUUAGCGAAUUUGGAUAUGGUUUUGGUGUUUGCUGGACAUAACGUGUUGUUCUCAUUCUCUGAUUGAAGUUAACUGGAUUAAGAUGCAUGUACAAGGGGGGGAGUAGGUAAUCCACUUUUGGGAGAAGAAUCAAAAGAAUAUAAUUGCUUCUGCUCUUAAAGGCUCAGAUUUUAUUUUCACUACUGUGGGUUUGGGUUCUAGAGCUCCACCUGUUGUGGCUCAGAUAUAUUCAUUUAUUUUUUCU